rnacentral:rRNA from 1 species
UGGGGAAUCUUGGACAAUGGGCGAAAGCCUGAUCCAGCCAUGCCGCGUGAGUGAAGAAGGCCCUAGGGUUGUAAAGCUCUUUCAGCGGGGAAGAUAAUGACGGUACCCGCAGAAGAAGCCCCGGCUAACUUCGAGCCAGCAGCCGCGGUAAUACGGAGGGGGCAAGCGUUGUUCGGAAUUACUGGGCGUAAAGGGCGCGUAGGCGGCAUAUCAAGUCAGAGGUGAAAGCCCCGGGCUCAACCUGGGAAUUGCCUUUGAAACCGAUGAGCUAGAGUCCGGAAGAGGAUAGCGGAAUUCCCAGUGUAGAGGUGAAAUUCGUAGAUAUUGGGAAGAACACCAGUGGCGAAGGCGGCUAUCUGGUCCGGUACUGACGCUGAGGCGCGAAAGCGUGGGGAGCAAACAGGAUUAGAUACCCCCGUAGUCC